rnacentral:rRNA from 1 species
UGGGGAAUAUUGCACAAUGGGCGCAAGCCUGAUGCAGCCAUGCCGCGUGUAUGAAGAAGGCCUUCGGGUUGUAAAGUACUUUCAGCGGGGAGGAAGGGAGUAAAGUUAAUACCUUUGCUCAUUGACGUUACCCGCAGAAGAAGCACCGGCUAACUCCGUGCCAGCAGCCGCGGUAAUACGGAGGGUGCAAGCGUUAAUCGGAAUUACUGGGCGUAAAGCGCACGCAGGCGGUUUGUUAAGUCAGAUGUGAAAUCCCCGGGCUCAACCUGGGAACUGCAUCUGAUACUGGCAAGCUUGAGUCUCGUAGAGGGGGGUAGAAUUCCAGGUGUAGCGGUGAAAUGCGUAGAGAUCUGGAGGAAUACCGGUGGCGAAGGCGGCCCCCUGGACGAAGACUGACGCUCAGGUGCGAAAGCGUGGGGAGCAAACAGGAUUAGAUACCCCCGUAGUCC